UACGUAGGUGGCAAGCGUUGUCCGGAUUUACUGGGCGUAAAGGGCGUGCAGGCGGUUUGUUAAGUGCAGGGUGAAAGCUCCCGGCUCAACUGGGAGAGGUCCUUGCAUACUGGCGAACUCGAGGGAGGCAGAGGAAAGCGGAAUUCCCGGUGUAGUGGUGAUAUGCGUAGAUAUCGGGAGGAACACCUGUGGCGAAGGCGGCUUUCUGGGCCUUACCUGACGCUGAGACGCGAAAGCGUGGGGAGCGAACCGG
rnacentral:rRNA from 1 species